AAGAUUUUAAGUUAAAUAAAACUAUAGACCUUCAAAGUCUAAAAUAUAGAUGUAACUAUAGGUCUUA
rnacentral:tRNA from 1 species